rnacentral:rRNA from 1 species
UGACUUUUGGCGAUGGAUGUCUCGGCUCUUGCUUCGAUGAAGGACGCAGCUUACUGCGAUAAGCAGUGUGACUUGCAGAAUUCUGAGAAACACUAGAUUUUUGAACGCAUACGGUACUUCUUGGCUUGCUAAGGAGUAUGUCCAGUUCAGUGCCUCA